rnacentral:rRNA from 1 species
GACGAACGCUGGCGGCGUGCUUAACACAUGCAAGUCGAACGGAAAGGCCCUGCUUUUGUGGGGUGCUCGAGUGGCGAACGGGUGAGUAACACGUGAGUAACCUGCCCUUGACUUUGGGAUAACUUCAGGAAACUGGGGCUAAUACCGGAUAGGAGCUCCUGCUGCAUGGUGGGGGUUGGAAAGUUUCGGCGGUUGGGGAUGGACUCGCGGCUUAUCAGCUUGUUGGUGGGGUAGUGGCUUACCAAGGCUUUGACGGGUAGCCGGCCUGAGAGGGUGACCGGCCACAUUGGGACUGAGAUACGGCCCAGACUCCUACGGGAGGCAGCAGUGGGGAAUAUUGCACAAUGGGCGGAAGCCUGAUGCAGCAACGCCGCGUGCGGGAUGACAGCCUUCGGGUUGUAAACCGCUUUCGCCUGUGACGAAGCGUGAGUGACGGUAAUGGGUAAAGAAGCACCGGCUAACUACGUGCCAGCAGCCGCGGUGAUACGUAGGGUGCGAGCGUUGUCCGGAUUUAUUGGGCGUAAAGGGCUCGUAGGUGGUUGAUCGCGUCGGAAGUGUAAUCUUGGGGCUUAACCCUGAGCGUGCUUUCGAUACGGGUUGACUUGAGGAAGGUAGGGGAGAAUGGAAUUCCUGGUGGAGCGGUGGAAUGCGCAGAUAUCAGGAGGAACACCAGUGGCGAAGGCGGUUCUCUGGGCCUUUCCUGACGCUGAGGAGCGAAAGCGUGGGGAGCGAACAGGCUUAGAUACCCUGGUAGUCCACGCUGUAAACGGUGGGUACUAGGUGUGGGGUCCAUUCCACGGGUUCCGUGCCGUAGCUAACGCUUUAAGUACCCCGCCUGGGGAGUACGGCCGCAAGGCUAAAACUCAAAGGAAUUGACGGGGCCCCGCACAAGCGGCGGAGCAUGCGGAUUAAUUCGAUGCAACGCGUAGAACCUUACCUGGGUUUGACAUGGAUCGGGAGUGCUCAGAGAUGGGUGUGCCUCUUUUGGGGUCGGUUCACAGGUGGUGCAUGGCUGUCGUCAGCUCGUGUCGUGAGAUGUUGGGUUAAGUCCCGCAACGAGCGCAACCCUUGUUCACUGUUGCCAGCACGUUAUGGUGGGGACUCAGUGGAGACCGCCGGGGUCAACUCGGAGGAAGGUGGGGAUGGCGUCAAGUCAUCAUGCCCCUUAUGUCCAGGGCUUCACGCAUGCUACAAUGGCUGGUACAGAGAGUGGCGAGCCUGUGAGGGUGAGCGAAUCUCGGAAAGCCGGUCUCAGUUCGGAUUGGGGUCUGCAACUCGACCUCAUGAAGUCGGAGUCGCUAGUAAUCGCAGAUCAGCAACGCUGCGGUGAAUACGUUCCCGGG